rnacentral:antisense_RNA from 1 species
AGCGCGGCCGCGGGGGGAGUCCGGUUUCUUGAAGGUCCUCCGUCCUGGAGCAGUAAGAUCCUUGACGUAACUAGAAAUGGCGGGACGGAGUCUCGCUCUGUCACCCAGGCUGGAAUGCAGUAGCGCAAUCUUAGUCCACUGUAACCUCUGCCUGCUGGGUCCAAGCCAUUCUCCUGCCUCAGCCUCCCGAGUAGGUGGGAUUGCAAUCACAUGCCACCAUGCCCGGUAUUUUUAUUGUAUUUUUUAUUUUUUAUUGUAUUUUUAGUACAGACGGUUUCACCAUGGUGGCCAGGCUGUUCUCAAACUCCUGACCAUAAUCUCCCCGCCUCAACCUCCCAAAGUGCUGGGAUUACAGGCGUGAGUCCCUGUGCCCGGUCGGCA